UAUGGCUCAGGAUGAACGCUAGCUACAGGCUAACACAUGCAAGUCGAGGGGCAGCAUAUCGAAGCUUGCUUGAUAGAUGGCGACCGGCGCACGGGUGAGUAACGCGUAUCCAACCUUCCCAUCACUCAGGGAUAGCCCGCCGAAAGGCGAAUUAAUACCUGAUGGUCUCCUUUGCAGACAUCUAACGAGGAGUAAAGAUUUAUUGGUGAUGGAUGGGGAUGCGUCUGAUUAGGUAGUAGGCGGGGUAACGGCCCACCUAGCCGACGAUCAGUAGGGGUUCUGAGAGGAAGGUCCCCCACAUUGGAACUGAGACACGGUCCAAACUCCUACGGGAGGCAGCAGUGAGGAAUAUUGGUCAAUGGACGGAAGUCUGAACCAGCCAAGUAGCGUGCCAGGAUGACGGCCCUAUGGGUUGUAAACUGCUUUUAUAGGGGAAUAAAGUGAGCCACGUGUGGUUUUUUGUAUGUACCCUAUGAAUAAGGACCGGCUAAUUCCGUGCCAGCAGCAGC
rnacentral:rRNA from 1 species